UACGUAGGGUGCGAGCGUUGUCCGGAAUUACUGGGCGUAAAGAGCUCGUAGGUGGUUUGUCGCGUUGUUCGUGAAAACUCACAGCUUAACUGUGGGCGUGCGGGCGAUACGGGCAGACUGGAGUACUGCAGGGGAGACUGGAAUUCCUGGUGUAGCGGUGGAAUGCGCAGAUAUCAGGAGGAACACCGGUGGCGAAGGCGGGUCUCUGGGCAGUAACUGACGCUGGAGGAGCGGAAAGCGUGGGGAGCGAACAGG
rnacentral:rRNA from 1 species